AAAAACUCCGGUGGUAUGAGAUGGACCCGCGUCUGAUUAGCUAGUUGGUGAGGUAACGGCCCACCAAGGCGACGAUCAGUAGCCGGCCUGAGAGGGCGACCGGCCACAUUGGGACUGAGACACGGCCCAAACUCCUACGGGAGGCAGCAGUGGGGAAUAUUGCACAAUGGGGGAAACCCUGAUGCAGCGACGCCGCGUGAGUGAAGAAGUAUUUCGGUAUGUAAAGCUCUAUCAGCAGGGAAGAAGAAAGACGGUACCUGACUAAGAAGCCCCGGCUAACUACGUGCCAGCAGCCGCGGUAAUACGUAGGGGGCAAGCGUUAUCCGGAUUUACUGGGUGUAAAGGGAGCGUAGACGGCUGUGCAAGUCUGAAGUGAAAGCCCAGGGCUCAACCCUGGGACUGCUUUGGAAACUGUGGAGCUAGAGUGCUGGAGAGGUAAGUGGAAUUCCUAGCGUAGCGGUGAAAUGCGUAGAUAUUAGGAGGAACACCAGUGGCGAAGGCGGCUUACUGGACAGUAACUGACGUUGAGGCUCGAAAGCGUGGGGAGCAAACAGGAUUAGAUACCCUGGUAGUCCACGCGGUAAACGAUGAAUACUAGGUGUUGGAGAGCAAAGCUUUUCG
rnacentral:rRNA from 1 species